rnacentral:rRNA from 1 species
CAUGCAGGUCGAACGCGAAAGCCCGCAAGGGUGAGUAUAGUGGCAAACGGGUGAGUAACACGUGGGUGACCUGCCUCAGAGUGGGGGAUAACGACCCGAAAGGGUCGCUAAUACCGCAUAACAUCCUGCCUUUGGAAAGGCGGAGAUCAAAGCCGUGGAUCGCAAGACCUGGCGCUUAGAGAGGGGCCCGCGGCCGAUUAGCUAGUUGGUAGGGUAACGGCCUACCAAGGCAACGAUCGGUAUCCGGCCUGAGAGGGCGGACGGACACACUGGGACUGAGACACGGCCCAGACUCCUACGGGAGGCAGCAGUGGGGAAUUGUUCGCAAUGGGCGCAAGCCUGACGACGCAACGCCGCGUGGAGGAUGAAGAUCUUCGGGUCGUAAACUCCUUUCGAUCGGGAAGAACGCUUU